AAGAGGGCCUCCCGUUGAAAAUGGACAGCCUGGAACGACUAACCCUCCCCACGGGACGGUCCCUGCAGCAUAGAUGGCCCGGACCAGCUCACCCUUCCUUCCCACCGAGGGGAGGGUUCCCUGUAUUUUCUAAGUCAGCCAGAUACCAACAAAGCAGCACCAGCCUGAUGUUACUAUGUUGGGUGAGGACCAUUAUUGUGCCUAAAGAAGAACAGUGCUUUACUGGAGUAAACCGUAGACUCAGUGAAAUAGAUGCUUUGUAAUGUGAUCACCUUUUGAGCUUUAUCCUCAACAAGAGAUCAGAAAAC